GGCAAUGGCGGGUGCUAUACAUGCAGUCGAGCGAACAGAUAAGGAGCUUGCUCCUUUGACGUUAGCGGCGGACGGGUGAGUAACACGUGGGUAACCUACCUAUAAGACUGGAAUAACUCCGGGAAACCGGGGCUAAUGCCGGAUAACAUUUAGAACCGCAUGGUUCUAAAGUGAAAGAUGGUUUUGCUAUCACUUAUAGAUGGACCCGCGCCGUAUUAGCUAGUUGGUAAGGUAACGGCUUACCAAGGCAACGAUACGUAGCCGACCUGAGAGAAGGGGGUGGAUCGGCCACCACCUGGAACUGAGACACCGGUCCCAGACUCCUACGGGAGGCAGCAGUAAGGAAUCUUCCGCAAUGGGCCGAAAGCCUGACGGAGCAACCGCCGCGUGAGUGAUGAAGGUCUUCGGAUCGUAAAACUCUGUUAUUAGGGAAGAACAAAUGUGUAAGUAACUGUGCACGUCUUGACCGGUACCUAAUCAGAAAGCCACGGCUAACUACGUGCCAGCAGCCGCGGUAAUACGUAGGUGGCAAGCGUUAUCCGGAAUUAUUGGGCGUAAAGCGCGCGUAGGCGGUUUCUUAAGUCUGAUGUGAAAGCCCACGGCUCAACCGUGGAGGGUCAUUGGAAACUGGGAAACUUGAGUGCAGAAGAGGAAAGUGGAAUUCCAUGUGUAGCGGUGAAAUGCGCAGAGAUAUGGAGGAACACCAGUGGCGAAGGCGACUUUCUGGUCUGUAACUGACGCUGAUGUGCGAAAGCGUGGGGAUCAAACAGGAUUAGAUACCCUGGUAGUCCACGCCGUAAACGAUGAGUGCUAAGUGUUAGGGGGUUUCCGCCCCUUAGUGCUGCAGCUAACGCAUUAAGCACUCCGCCUGGGGAGUACGACCGCAAGGUUGAAACUCAAAGGAAUUGACGGGGACCCGCACAAGCGGUGGAGCAUGUGGUUUAAUUCGAAGCAACGCGAAGAACCUUACCAAAUCUUGACAUCCUUUGACAACUCUAGAGAUAGAGCCUUCCCCUUUCGGGGGACAAAGUGACAGGUGGUGCAUGGUUGUCGUCAGCUCGUGUCGUGAGAUGUUGGGUUAAGUCCCGCAACGAGCGCAACCCUUUAAGCUUAGGUGCCAGCAUUAAGUUGGGGCACUCUAAGUUGACUGCCGGUGACAAACCGGAGGAAGGUGGGGGAUGACGUCAAAUCAUCAUGCCCCUUAUGAUUAGGGCCUAACACACGUGCUACAAUGGACAAUACAAAGGGCAGCUAAACCGCGAGGUCAUGCAAAUCCCAUAAAGUUGUUCUCAGUUCGGAUUGUAGUCUGCAACUCGACUACAUGAAGCUGGAAUCGCUAGUAAUCGUAGAUCAGCAUGCUACGGUGAAUACGUUCCCGGGUCUUGUACACACCGCCCGUCACACCACGAGAGUUUGUAACACCCGAAGCCGGUGGAGUAACCAUUUAUGGAGCUAGCCGUCGAAGUGACGAAAGU
rnacentral:rRNA from 1 species